GAGAGAGAUAGCAAAAGAGAGCCAGAGAGGAAGAAGACCUCCAUCCGUCAGCACGGGCCGCCGCGAUUCGAAGAAAGUCCCUUGCCCUCAAUCGUCAGAAAGGAGAGAAGAAAAAGUUGAGAAGAAAGAAGACAAACCCAGAAGUGGUUAAAUAAACUGCAAGGGACUUUCAGGGUAAAAGAAAUGAAGAACCCAAUUGUACAUAUUGAAGGGGGAGAGAUUUGGACUGAAAACAAAGAAAAGAGGAAGUUCAUAGAAAAAUAUACUGAUAGGAAGCUCCUACAACUGGUGGAUUAUAAAAAUCGGCCAACUCCUCGCUGUUUUACAUUUAUGUGAGAACCUCACUUAAGAAUAAUCGUCUGGUUUCUAAGGUCUCGAUUACCGCCUUUUGCCUAUGUU